rnacentral:rRNA from 1 species
UACAGAGGUCUCAAGCGUUGUUCGGAUUCACUGGGCGUAAAGGGUGCGCAGGCGGCCAUGUGUGUGAGGCGUGAAAGCCCGAUGCUUAACAUCGGAAUUGCACCUCAAACUACAUGGCUAGAGCAUUGGAGAGGGUAGCGGAAUUCACGGUGUAGCAGUGAAAUGCGUAGAUAUCGUGAGGAACACCAGAGGCGAAGGCGGCUACCUGGCCCACUCUUGACGCUGAGGCGCGAAAGCUAGGGGAGCAAACGGG